rnacentral:rRNA from 1 species
AUUGAACGCUGGCGGCAGGCCUAACACAUGCAAGUCGAGCGAGCGGCGGACGGGUGAGUAAUGUCUGGGAAACUGCCUGAGGGAGGGGGAGAACUACUGGAAACGGUAGCUAAUACCGCACACCAUCACAUGUGCCCACAUGGGAUUAGCUAGUAGGUGGGGUAUCGGCUCACCUAGGCGACGAUCCCUCGCUGGUCUGAGAGGAUGACCAGCCACACUGGAAAGGAGACACGGUCCAGACUCCUACGGGAGGCAGCAGUGGGGAAUAUUGCACAAUGGGCGCAAGCCUGAUGCAGCCAUGCCGCGUGUGUGAAGAAGGCCUUCGGGUUGUAAAGCACUUUCAGCGGGGAGGCGUUACCCGCAGAAGAAGCACCGGCUAACUCCGUGCCAGCAGCCGCGGUAAUAC